AUAUCUCAGAACCUAGUGACUGUAAGAGCAAACUCUGCGUCCAAGACUUGCUAUCCAGUACAGCAACAGUGAGAACUUCCUGACAACCAGGCAAGGAGUCAUGGAGAGAAGCCUGGGGACUCUGCUAGGGCUUCUGUUGGCUCAGAUUUUCUCAGGCAUAAGAGGCCUGGAGGUGAAGCAGAGUCCUUCAAUGUUGAAUGUCCAGGAAGGAGCCAGCCCUACCCUGAACUGCAAUUUUUCUACUUCAGUGAGAAGUGUCCAGUGGUUCCAGCAAAAUCCCGGGAGCAGCCUUACUAGUCUUCUCAUCAUAGCUUUAGGGACAAAGGAGAGUGGAAGGUUGACGGCAACCAUUAAUUCCCAGGAGCGCUACAGCACCCUCCACAUUGCAGCCACCCAGAUGGCUGACUCAGGCACCUACUUCUGUGCGGCAGAGGCACAGUGCUCCCAGGUCACCUGCUGCCUGCACCCAAACUGCAGCUGA